GCAGAACGCGAAGAACCUUACCAGGCCUUGACAUGCAGAGAACUUUCCAGAGAUGGAUUGGUGCCUUCGGGAACUCUGACACAGGUGCUGCAUGGCUGUCGUCAGCUCGUGUCGUGAGAUGUUGGGUUAAGUCCCGUAACGAGCGCAACCCUGUCCUUAGUUACCAGCACGUUAUGGUGGGCACUCUAAGGAGACUGCCGGUGACAAACCGGAGGAAGGUGGGGAUGACGUCAAGCCAUCAUGGCCCUUACGGCCUGGGCUACACACGUGCUACAAUGGUCGGUACAGAGGGUUGCCAAGCCGCGAGGUGGAGCUAAUCUCACAAAACCGAUCGUAGUCCGGAUCGCAGUCUGCAACUCGACUGCGUGAAGUCGGAAUCGCUAGUAAUCGCGAAUCAGAAUGUCGCGGUGAAUACGUU
rnacentral:rRNA from 1 species